rnacentral:rRNA from 1 species
GUGACUGCGUACCUUUUGUAUAAUGGGUCAGCGACUUAUAUUCUGUAGCAAGGUUAACCGAAUAGGGGAGCCGAAGGGAAACCGAGUCUUAACUGGGCGUUAAGUUGCAGGGUAUAGACCCGAAACCCGGUGAUCUAGCCAUGGGCAGGUUGAAGGUUGGGUAACACUAACUGGAGGACCGAACCGACUAAUGUUGAAAAAUUAGCGGAUGACUUGUGGCUGGGGGUGAAAGGCCAAUCAAACCGGGAGAUAGCUGGUUCUCCCCGAAAGCUAUUUAGGUAGCGCCUCGUGAAUUCAUCUCCGGGGGUAGAGCACUGUUUCGGCAAGGGGGUCAUCCCGACUUACCAACCCGAUGCAAACUGCGAAUACCGGAGAAUGUUAUCACGGGAGACACACGGCGGGUGCUAACGUCCGUCGUGAAGAGGGAAACAACCCAGACCGCCAGCUAAGGUCCCAAAGUCAUGGUUAAGUGGGAAACGAUGUGGGAAGGCCCAGACAGCCAGGAUGUUGGCUUAGAAGCAGCCAUCAUUUAAAGAAAGCGUAAUAGCUCACUGGUCGAGUCGGCCUGCGCGGAAGAUGUAACGGGGCUAAACCAUGCACCGAAGCUGCGGCAGCGACGCUUAUGCGUUGUUGGGUAGGGGAGCGUUCUGUAAGCCUGUGAAGGUGUGCUGUGAGGCAUGCUGGAGGUAUCAGAAGUGCGAAUGCUGACAUAAGUAACGAUAAAGCGGGUGAAAAGCCCGCUCGCCGGAAGACCAAGGGUUCCUGUCCAACGUUAAUCGGGGCAGGGUGAGUCGACCCCUAAGGCGAGGCCGAAAGGCGUAGUCGAUGGGAAACAGGUUAAUAUUCCUGUACUUGGUGUUACUGCGAAGGGGGGACGGAGAAGGCUAUGUUGGCCGGGCGACGGUUGUCCCGGUUUAAGCGUGUAGGCUGGUUUUCCAGGCAAAUCCGGAAAAUCAAGGCUGAGGCGUGAUGACGAGGCACUACGGUGCUGAAGCAACAAAUGCCCUGCUUCCAGGAAAAGCCUCUAAGCAUCAGGUAACAUCAAAUCGUACCCCAAACCGACACAGGUGGUCAGGUAGAGAAUACCAAGGCGCUUGAGAGAACUCGGGUGAAGGAACUAGGCAAAAUGGUGCCGUAACUUCGGGAGAAGGCACGCUGAUAUGUAGGUGARGUCCCUCGCGGAUGGAGCUGAAAUCAGUCGAAGAUACCAGCUGGCUGCAACUGUUUAUUAAAAACACAGCACUGUGCAAACACGAAAGUGGACGUAUACGGUGUGACGCCUGCCCGGUGCCGGAAGGUUAAUUGAUGGGGUUAGCGGUAACGCGAAGCUCUUGAUCGAAGCCCCGGUAAACGGCGGCCGUAACUAUAACGGUCCUAAGGUAGCGAAAUUCCUUGUCGGGUAAGUUCCGACCUGCACGAAUGGCGUAAUGAUGGCCAGGCUGUCUCCACCCGAGACUCAGUGAAAUUGAACUCGCUGUGAAGAUGCAGUGUACCCGCGGCAAGACGGAAAGACCCCGUGAACCUUUACUAUAGCUUGACACUGAACAUUGAGCCUUGAUGUGUAGGAUAGGUGGGAGGCUUUGAAGUGUGGACGCCAGUCUGCAUGGAGCCGGCCUUGAAAUACCACCCUUUAAUGUUUGAUGUUCUAACGUUGGCCCCUGAUCGGGGUUGCGGACAGUGUCUGGUGGGUAGUUUGACUGGGGCGGUCUCCUCCUAAAGAGUAACGGAGGAGCACGAAGGUUGGCUAAUCCUGGUCGGACAUCAGGAGGUUAGUGCAAUGGCAUAAGCCAGCUUGACUGCGAGCGUGACGGCGCGAGCAGGUGCGAAAGCAGGUCAUAGUGAUCCGGUGGUUCUGAAUGGAAGGGCCAUCGCUCAACGGAUAAAAGGUACUCCGGGGAUAACAGGCUGAUACCGCCCAAGAGUUCAUAUCGACGGCGGUGUUUGGCACCUCGAUGUCGGCUCAUCACAUCCUGGGGCUGAAGUAGGUCCCAAGGGUAUGGCUGUUCGCCAUUUAAAGUGGUACGCGAGCUGGGUUUAGAACGUCGUGAGACAGUUCGGUCCCUAUCUGCCGUGGGCGCUGGAGAACUGAGGGGGGCUGCUCCUAGUACGAGAGGACCGGAGUGGACGCAUCACUGGUGUUCGGGUUGUCAUGCCAAUGGCACUGCCCGGUAGCUAAAUGCGGAAGAGAUAAGUGCUGAAAGCAUCUAAGCACGAAACUUGCCCCGAGAUGAGUUCUCCCUGACUCCUUGAGAGUCCUGAAGGAACGUUGAAGACGACGACGUUGAUAGGCCGGGUGUGUAAGCGCAGCGAUGCGUUGAGCUAACCGGUACUAAUGAACCGUGAGGCUUAACCUUACAACGCCGAAG